rnacentral:rRNA from 1 species
ACCUGAUCAGCAUUUCACGUGUGUGAAGAAGGCUUCGCGUUGUAAUGCACUUUUGUCAGGAACGAAACGGUGGGGGCUAAUAUCCUCUGCUAAUGACGGUACCUGAAGAAUAAGCACCGGCUAACUACGUGCCAGCAGCCGCGGUAAUACGUAGGGUGCGAGCGUUAAUCGGAAUUACUGGGCGUAAAGCGUGCGCAGGCGGUUGUGCAAGACAGAUGUGAAAUCCCCGGGCUUAACCUGGGAAUUGCAUUUGUGACUGCACGGCUAGAGUGUGUCAGAGGGGGGUAGAAUUCCACGUGUAGCAGUGAAAUGCGUAGAUAUGUGGAGGAAUACCGAUGGCGAAGGCAGCCCCCUGGGAUAACACUGACGCUCAUGCACGAAAGCGUGGGGAGCAAACAGGAUUAGAUACCCUGGUAGUCCACGCCCUAAACGAUGUCUACUAGUUGUCGGGUCUUAAUUGACUUGGUAACGCAGCUAACGCGUGAAGUAGACCGCCUGGGGAGUACGGUCGCAAGAUUAAAACUCAAAGGAAUUGACGGGGACCCGUACAAGCGGUGGAUGAUGUGGAUUAAUUCGAUGCAACGCGA